AGUGGCGGACGGGUGAGUAACGCGUGAGAAUCUGCCUUGGGGUCGGGGACAACCACUGGAAACGGUGGCUAAUACCGGAUAAGCCGAUUGGUGAAAGAUUUAUUGCCCGAAGAGGAGCUCGCGUCUGAUUCCUAGUUGGUGAGGUAAGAGCUCACCAAGGCAGCGAUCAGUAGCUGGUCUGAGAGGACGAUCAGCCACACUGGGACUGAGACACGGCCCAGACUCCUACGGGAGGCAGCAGUGGGGAAUUUUCCGCAAUGGGCGAAAGCCUGACGGAGCAAGACCGCGUGAGGGAGGAAGGCUCUUGGGUUGUAAACCUCUUUUCUCAGGGAAGAAGCUCUGACGGUACCUGAGGAAUCAGCCUCGGCUAACUCCGUGCCAGCAGCCGCGGUAAUACGGAGGAGGCAAGCGUUAUCCGGAAUUAUUGGGCGUAAAGCGUCCGCAGGUGGCGAUUCAAGUCUGCUGUCAAAGCACGGGGCUUAACUCCGUAAAGGCAGUGGAAACUGAAUAGCUAGAGUGCCGUAGGGGUAGAGGGAAUUCCCGGUGUAGCGGUGAAAUGCGUAGAGAUCGGGAAGAACAUCGGUGGCGAAAGCGCUCUACUGGACGGCAACUGACACUCAGGGACGAAAGCUAGGGGAGCGAAUGGGAUUAGAUACCCC
rnacentral:rRNA from 1 species